rnacentral:lncRNA from 1 species
GGAUCGAUCGAAAAACUAUAGCUAGGAAUUAAGAUUGGGAAACCGGUUGUGAUUUCUUGGGGCCUUUGGGGCUGGCUGGCAUUAUAUGGCCGGUGAAUCCGCGUGAGACAUCUCCGACUCGGAUUCGAACUGGGGAAGAGAGAAACCCGCGCGGGAGAAUUAGGGCCUGUUUGGUUUGCAUCCUGGGCACUUCGUGCCUGACCGGUAGGUUCCCUGAUCUCUGCCUGAAUGUUGUUUGGUUCAUGCCU